rnacentral:rRNA from 1 species
GACAGAGGGUGCAAACGUUGUUCGGAAUUACUGGGCGUAAAGCGCGCGUAGGCGGCUUUGUAAGUUAGAGGUGAAAGCCCGGAGCUCAACUCCGGAACUGCCUUUAAGACUGCAUCGCUAGAACGAUGGAGAGGUAAGUGGAAUUCCGAGUGUAGAGGUGAAAUUCGUAGAUAUUCGGAGGAACACCAGUGGCGAAGGCGGCUCACUGGCUCGAUACUGACGCUGAGGUGCGAAAGCGUGGGGAGCAAACAGG